rnacentral:rRNA from 1 species
AUUCCGGUUGAUCCUGCCGGAGGCCAUUGCUAUUGGGAUCCGAUUUAGCCAUGCUAGUCGCACGAGUUCAGACUCGUGGCGAAUAGCUCAGUAACACGUGGCCAAACUACCCUUCGGAACACAAUACCCUCGGGAAACUGAGGCUAAUAGUGUAUAUCGUACCACCACUGGAAUGAGUGGUACGCUAAACGCUCCGGCGCCGAAGGAUGUGGCUGCGGCCGAUUAGGUAGACGGUGGGGUAACGGCCCACCGUGCCAAUAAUCGGUAUGGGUCAUGAGAGUGAGAACCCAGAGACGGAAUCUGAGACAAGAUUCCGGGCCCUACGGGGCGCAGCAGGCGCGAAACCUUUACACUGCACGACAGUGCGAUAGGGGGAUCCCAAGUGCACAGGCAUAGCGCCUGUGCUUUUCGGCACCCUAAGGCGGUGCCAGAAUAAGGGCUGGGCAAGACCGGUGCCAGCCGCCGCGGUAAUACCGGCAGCCCAAGUGAUGGCCGAUCUUAUUGGGCCUAAAGCGUCCGUAGCUGGCCGCGCAAGUCCAUCGGGAAAUCCACCUGCUCAACAGGUGGGCGCCCGGUAGAAACUGCGUGGCUUGGGACCGGAAGGCGCGACGGGUACGUCCGGGGUAGGAGUGAAAUCCCGUAAUCCUGGACGGACCGCCGAUGGCGAAAGCACGUCGCGAGAACGGAUCCGACAGUGAGGGACGAAAGCCAGGGUCUCGAACCGGAUUAGAUACCCGGGUAGUCCUGGCCGUAAACAAUGUCUGCUAGGUGUGGCUCCCACUACGAGUGGGUGCUGUGCCGUAGGGAAGCCGCUAAGCAGACCGCCUGGGAAGUACGUCCGCAAGGAUGAAACUUAAAGGAAUUGGCGGGGGAGCACUACAACCGGAGGAGCCUGCGGUUUAAUUGGACUCGACGCCGGACAUCUCACCAGCAUCGACUGUGGUAAUGACGAUCAGGUUGAUGACCUUAUCCGAGCCUCAGAGAGGAGGUGCAUGGCCGCCGUCAGCUCGUACCGUGAGGCGUCCCGUUAAGUCAGGCAACGAGCGAGACCCGCACCCUUACUUGCCAGCAGUACCGCGAGGUAGCUGGGGACAGUAGGGGGACCGCCGUGGCUAACACGGAGGAAGGAACGGGCAACGGUAGGUCAGUAUGCCCCGAAUGUGCUGGGCAACACGCGGGCUACAAUGGUCGAGACAAAGGGUUCCUACUCCGAAAGGAGACGGUAAUCUCAGAAACUCGAUCGUAGUUCGGAUUGUGGGCUGCAACUCGCCCACAUGAAGCUGGAUUCGGUAGUAAUCGCGUGUCACAAGCGCGCGGUGAAUACGUCCCUGCUCCUUGCACACACCGCCCGUCAAAGCACCCGAGUGAGGUCCGGAUGAGGCGUUCCACGAACGUCGAAUCUGGGCUUCGCAAG